CAGAAUAAUUAGCAUAUAGAAUAACACUGUAGGACAUCCUGUAUCUAUGAAACACGUUUUUCAAUAUGUUAACAUUUGUUUUGAUCCCAAUCCGUUAUGUCUAAAGAGAUCAACCCGUAAUAUUGUAAUAUUUUUUUGCCGUUACUGUGACCUAUAAUAUUAUGAUCGAACAAGUCGGGUAGAUUAUCGGUGCAUACAGGCUUGUACAACCAGA